UGCAUGAAGGUAGAUUAGUUCUAUGACUAUUGUGGUGUACAAAGUUAAAUUAUUUUUUUGCGACAUGCAUUGUGUACAAUUAUAUCUCGCGGUUCUUUAUAUGGAUGAGGAACGCCAUUUCUUGCGAGGAGUGGUAUCAUAGGGGGGAAGAGGCACACCAAACACCCAAUCAAGAACAUUCAAAUACUUGGAUUUAAAAACAUCCCUCUCCAUAGCAUAACAAUGCAUGAUAAUUGCAGUUGCCAUGCUAAAGAUCACAACAUCACCCCUCUUCAAUUUUUCAGACUGAGGCAAAUAACCAACAUCAGCCAUGCACGUGACGAAACUCUCAAGUGCCCGAGCAAGACAAUAGAGUGAAAUCUCUAUCCUUCUGCUUUUCUUCUCGAUUGCCAGGGCCAGACCAGUAGGGAACGUUCCCAGUGCCACCAUGGGGAUGUUACACCUCUUGAACAGCCUGAAGAGAAAACAUGUCCACAACCAGGCAGACGAACAAUACAUGGAGAGAAAUAGACUAGACCUUGCUGUACCGAGGAGACCCUUCGCCAAAAUUGUGUUAGGUCUUUUCAAGAUGCCUUGACGAUGUACAAUGAGUGCAGGAACUAAAUAAACUGGAAGGUAAACCGGCAGAGCUCUCUUGUAGGCUUGAAUUAGAAAUGAAAUGAAAUGCGCACCACAUCCUUGAUUCUCAUGUACUAUCGAGCAGGGUACUUUCAUUUGUGGAUCCAGUUUGAUGUUAAUACCAUUGGACUUGUAGUGAUUCUCUAUUGCUUCCAAAUUCAUUACAGAGUUCCCACAUGCCAGGUCUUUCACACCCUGCAGGAUAACCAAAGCUUUGCCACCAUGUUUGUUGAGAAAGGAUUUGUAAGAUGGAUGCAGACUA
rnacentral:misc_RNA from 1 species